rnacentral:rRNA from 1 species
UACGUAGGGCGCGAGCGUUGUCCGGAAUUAUUGGGCGUAAAGAGCUCGUAGGCGGCCUGUUGCGUCUGCUGUGAAAUCCCGGGGCUUAACCCCGGGCGUGCAGUGGAUACGGGCAGGCUGGAGGCAUGCAGGGGAGAACGGAAUUCCUGGUGUAGCGGUGAAAUGCGCAGAUAUCAGGAGGAACACCGGUGGCGAAGGCGGUUCUCUGGGCAUGUUCUGACGCUGAGGAGCGAAAGUGUGGGGAGCGAACAGG